rnacentral:rRNA from 1 species
CGCGUAGGCGGCAAUGUAAGUCAGGUGUGAAAUUCCGCAGCUCAACUGCGGAGCGGCACUUGAAACUACAUAGCUAGAGUAUAGGCGGAGAAAAUGGAAUUUCACAUGUAGCGGUGAAAUGCGUAGAUAUGUGAAGGAACACCGGUGGCGAAGGCGGUUUUCUAGCCUAUAACUGACGCUGAGGCGCGAAAGCAAGGGGAGCAAACAGGAUUAGAUACCCUGGUAGUCC